GACGAACGCUGGCGGCGUGCUUAACACAUGCAAGUCGAACGAAGAGCGAUGGAAGCUUGCUUCUAUCAAUCUUAGUGGCGAACGGGUGAGUAACGCGUAAUCAACCUGCCCUUCAGAGGGGGACAACAGUUGGAAACGACUGCUAAUACCGCAUACGAUCUAACCUCGGCAUCGAGGAUAGAUGAAAGGUGGCCUCUACAUGUAAGCUUUCACUGAAGGAGGGGAUUGCGUCUGAUUAGCUAGUUGGAGGGGUAACGGCCCACCAAGGCGAUGAUCAGUAGCCGGUCUGAGAGGAUGAACGGCCACAUUGGGACUGAGACACGGCCCAGACUCCUACGGGAGGCAGCAGUGGGGAAUCUUCCGCAAUGGACGAAAGUCUGACGGAGCAACGCCGCGUGAGUGAUGACGGCCUUCGGGUUGUAAAGCUCUGUUAAUCGGGACGAAAGGCCUUCUUGCGAAUAGUUAGAAGGAUUGACGGUACCGGAAUAGAAAGCCACGGCUAACUACGUG
rnacentral:rRNA from 1 species